UAAAAAAAUAAAAUAUAUAAAAAUGAAUGAGCUAAUUCUUUGAAAUAAUUCUUAUGAAAGUAAAUGGUUGUUAAUAAAUUAGAGAAUAAUGAAUAUAUACAGCAGGCAAGAUAGAUUCUAUUUGUUUGCUUGCUUAUAUGUUUGUUUAUUUAUUGUGUGCAUGUGUAUGCGUGUGCGUGUAUAUAUAUAUGUUUAUAUAUAUAUAUAUAUAUAUACUUAUUUAUUUAUUUACUUAUUUUAUUUAUUUAUUUACUUCAUUGUUGUAUGUCAUAUAAUAGUUUUGUGUCGUAUAUUGCAAUUAUCAUAAAUCAAAUUUGAAAAUAGGCUUUAAAUUAUUAUAACAAUAUAUCUUAGAUAAUAAUUGAAGCGCUCCCUGGAAUCAAUAGAGCUGAAAACUCUCGCAACAAUUUUCACGAACUUUUAUCGAAAUUUACGCCUGUAUAUGUAGGGAACCGUUUCAAUUACGAUAUUAUCGCUAUAUAUAUAUAUAUUGAACACUUGUUGAAAUCCCCCGUUAAGAAAGAUUUUCAAAUGUUCAAUUAAAAUGAACAUUUCUUAUACGUAUUAUCGAGUGUUCAUCUAAUAGAAUACUUAAUACAUCAUACUAGUUUCAGUCGAAACAGCAGAUGACGAUUUACUAUUUACCUUCCAUUUCCUAUAAUUACGUUAUGCGUAAUAAUAACCAUAAUAUAAUGAUAAACAUUAUUACCACCACAGAGCAUUAAUAGUGUUAUAAUAGCACUGUUGCUAGGGACGCAUGAAGAUAUAUUUAUGUGACGGCGGCCCCACUACCUGUUUAAUGCAAUGAACGAUACUCAUUCAUCCGAAUAAGAUUCAUUAUACACAUACAUAAUAUUCAGUGUAGUAUCAUUACAUUAUAUAUUAACUCGUAUCGGUAUAUUUUCCUUCAUAUUGUUUUUUUUUUUUAUUCUUCUUCUAUGUUCUUCUUUUGUAUUUAAAGAAGACUCUAAUUGAACGAUUUCGAGACAUCCAUUGAUUUUGUUUUGGCCAAGAAUAUUCAAGGAAAUGGCAAUGAGAAGAUACAAUUGGAUAAACAAGAAGCACACCUAAAAGGAAAUGAUAUAGUAUAGUAAUAAAGAAAUGUAAUGAUAUAAUGGGAAUUAGUGAUAAGAUGGUGAUAGUAAGAAAGGGAAAGAAAAGGAAAAUUAUGUUCAUGAUAUUCUGAAAUUGGAAACAAU